GUUUAUGCCCUCAAGGCAAGUCUAAAAUCAAGUGUCCUGUUUCAACAAAUAAACGAAGCUGGGACAAAUGGCAUUGCCCCCAUAUCCCCCAUAUCUGAAUCAGCAAAUUCUAGCAGGAAAGUCAUAUUUGAAAUUGAGGAACUUCAUGAUAAGGUUGCAGAUCUGAAGAUGAAGGUAGAAGAGGGACAUGUGCUUCUCCAAAAGCAAAAGAGGGACAUGUGCUGAAUACAAAGGUGACCCGGACAGUGGAAGCAAAGUCGUGCUGUUCAUCAACAACAUGCAAUUGAUAAAAUUUCUUUGUUUGGUGUGGAAUAAACCAAAAUUCCAAUUGUACCUGUCUAGCAUAUCAGUAUGGUAUUAAUUGAAAUGCAUUGUAAUAAAGGAAAUAAGAGAUUAUGUACAGAGUUAAUUUGUAUGGUGUUUUUAGACUGUUGGAAAAAAAUUGUAUGUUUAACUACAUGAUAUUUUUUUUAGCAAAGUUUGUUUCCAUGACUUCA